UACGAAGGGGGCUAGCGUUGUUCGGAAUUACUGGGCGUAAAGCGCACGUAGGCGGAUCUGUAAGUCAGGGGUGAAAUCCCGGGGCUCAACCUCGGAACUGCCUUUGAUACUGCAAGUCUUGAGUCCGGAAGAGGUGAGUGGAAUUCCUAGUGUAGAGGUGAAAUUCGUAGAUAUUCGGAAGAACACCAGUGGCGAAGGCGACUCGCUGGACAAGUAUUGACGCUGAGGUGCGAAAGCGUGGGGAGCAAACAGG
rnacentral:rRNA from 1 species